rnacentral:rRNA from 1 species
AUAGCAUUAUACCGUGAAACUGCGAAUGGCUCAUUAAAUCAGUUAUCGUUUAUUUGAUAGUACCUUACUACUUGGAUAACCGUGGUAAUUCUAGAGCUAAUACAUGCUGAAAACCCCAACUUCGGGAGGGGUGUAUAUAUUAGAUAAAAAACCAACGCCCUUCGGGGCUUCUUGGUGAUUCAUGAUAUCUUUACGGAUCGCAUGGCCUUGCGCCGGCGACGGUUCAUUCAAAUUUCUGCCCUAUCAACUUUCGAUGGUAAGGUAUUGGCUUACCAUGGUUUCAACGGGUAACGGGGAAU